rnacentral:rRNA from 1 species
GUCGCUGACGACGUCUGACGGAGCACGCCGCGUGAGUGAUGAAGGUUUUCGGAUCGUAAAGCUCUGUUGUUAGGGAAGAACAAGUACCGUUCGAAUAGGGCGGUACCUUGACGGUACCUAACCAGAAAGCCACGGCUAACUACGUGCCAGCAGCCGCGGUAAUACGUAGGUGGCAAGCGUUGUCCGGAAUUAUUGGGCGUAAAGGGCUCGCAGGCGGUUUCUUAAGUCUGAUGUGAAAGCCCCCGGCUCAACCGGGGAGGGUCAUUGGAAACUGGGGAACUUGAGUGCAGAAGAGGAGAGUGGAAUUCCACGUGUAGCGGUGAAAUGCGUAGAGAUGUGGAGGAACACCAGUGGCGAAGGCGACUCUCUGGUCUGUAACUGACGCUGAGGAGCGAAAGCGUGGGGAGCGAACAGGAUUAGAUACCGCGGGGGGUAGUCAGAAA